AACGAACGCUGGCGGCAGGCUUAACACAUGCAAGUCGAACGCGAAAUCACCUUCGGGUGGUGGAGAGUGGCAGACGGGUGAGUAACGCGUGGGAACCUACCUAGUGGUACGGAAUAACUCAGGGAAACUUGGGCUAAUACCGUAUGUGCCCGAAAGGGGAAAGAUUCAUCGCCACUAGAUGGGCCCGCGUCGGAUUAGCUUGUUGGUGAGGUAACGGCUCACCAAGGCGACGAUCCGUAGCUGGUCUGAGAGGAUGAUCAGCCACACUGGGACUGAGACACGGCCCAGACUCCUACGGGAGGCAG
rnacentral:rRNA from 1 species